ACUCAGUGACGCUUGGAUCAGCUCAGAUCAAAUUCUCAAGCAAACAGAUGGCUGGGGAUAUUCAGUAACAACGGUGAGGAGAGAGAGGAACAAUUCACAUUUCAAGUGACCCUUCCUCAAAACGGUCUGUUCUGAAGGAACUUUCCCGCAGAAAUCACUGGACUGAAAGCUUCUGGCAACAAAUGGCCACAAACCGAUCAAAGGUGAAAGUGACGGUGAACCAGACAGAGCAGUCAGUGGCUGCAUAAAGCAGGACGGCGUGGAUAUUACACACGGGGACGGAGUACAGGAAAUAAAACUGUUCCGAAUAAACAAUGGGAAUGUGUCUCAGGAUCAGGUCGAGGAUAAUGACCAGGAGAUCCGCCGCUGCCAUGGCCCCCAGGUACAGUACUCCCACGUGUUCAUCACAGAAGUCACACGGAAACCUGACGAGGGAAGCAUGAC